rnacentral:piRNA from 1 species
UCAUUCCUGGGCACUCUUCUCCAGU